rnacentral:rRNA from 1 species
AAAAAAUAGUAAGAGCAUAUGGCGAAUGCCUUGGAAAAUGGAGCCGAAGAAGGACGUGACUACCUGCGAAAAGCAUCGGGGAGCUGGAAGUGAGCUUUGAUCCGGUGAUGUCCGAAUGGGGAAACCUAAUACGAUUUACCUCGUAUUGUUUGACUAGUGAAUACAUAGCUAGCAUAACGGGAACCUUGGGAAUUGAAACAUCUUAGUACCAAGAGGAAAAGAAAAUAAUAAUGAUUCCCCUAGUAGCGGCGAGCGAACGGGGAAGAGGCCAAACCAUCCUACGGGGUGGGGUUGUAGGACUUUUGUUAGAGUUACAAAGUCAACACAUAGUAGAACAGAUUGGGAAAUCUGAGCGUAGAGGGUGAUACUCCCGUACACGAAAUGUGUUGAUCUCGAAGAAGUAUCCUGAGUACGGCGAAGCACGUGAAACUUUGUCGGAAUCUGCCGAGACCACUCGGUAAGCCUAAAUACUACCAUUUUACCGAUAGUGAACCAGUACCGUGAGGGAAAGGUGAAAAGAACCCCGGGAGGGGAGUGAAAUAGUUCCUGAAACCAUAUGCUUACAAGAAGGUGGAGCCCGUUAAGGGGUGACACCGUGCUUUUUGUAGAAAGAGCCGGAGAGUUACUAUUACAUGCGAGGUUAAGCAGAGAUAUGUGGAGCCGUAGUGAAAGCGAGCCUUAAUAGGGCGAUAGUAUGUAGUAGUAGACACGAAACCGGGUGAUCUAGCCAUGAGCAGGUUGAAGUUGGGGUAAAACCUAAUGGAGGACCGAACCAACGUUCGUUGAAAAGACCGUGGAUGACUUGUGGCUAGCGGUGAAAUUCCAAUCGAACCCGGAGAUAGCUAGUUCUCCCCGAUAUAGCUUUAAGGCUAGCGUCGUAUUUAUAAUCAUGGAGGUAGAGCACUGAAUCUAUGAUGGCCGCACCUAGCGGUACUGAUUAGAAUUAAACUCCGAAUGCCAUGGUUCCAAUAUACGGCAGUCAGAACAUGGGUGAUAAGGUCCAUGCUCGUGAGGGAAACAGCCCAGAUCGUCAGCUAAGGUCCCUAAAUGUAUACUAAGUGUGUAAGGAUGUGAAAUUGCACAGACAGCUAGGAUGUUGGCUCAGAAGCAGCCAUCAUUUAAAGAGUGCGUAACAGCUCACUAGUCGAGUGAUUUUGCGCCGAAAAUGUACCGGGGCUUAAGUAUACUACCGAAGCUACGGAUUGUACUUUCAGUACAGUGGUAGGGGAGCGUUCUAAGGGCGAUGAAGUCGGACCGUGAGGACCGGUGGAGCGCUUAGAAGUGAUUAUUCCGGCAUGAGUAACGUUUGAGAGUGAGAAUCUCUCAUGCUAUUUGAUCAAGGUUUCCUGGGCAAGGUUCGUCCACCCAGGGUUAGUCAGGACCUAAGGCGAGGCCGAUAGGCGUAGUCGAUGGACAACAGGUUGAUAUUCCUGUACUGAUUAGUUAGUGAUGGAGUGACGGAGAAGGAUAGCAAGACCCAGUUAAUGGAUUCUGGGCCAAGUGCAAAGGUGGUAUUGUUGGUAAAUCCGCAAUGCUUAACACUGAAACGUGAUGGGGAGUGAACGGUUCGCCUAGUAACGAAGUUUGUGACUCCACGCUUCCAAGAAAAGCUUCUAACUUAAUAACUAAUUACCUGUACCUAGAACGAACACACGUGAUCAAGGAGAAAAUCCUAAGGCAAGCGAGAAAACUAUAGCUAAGGAACUCUGCAAAAUGACUCCGUAACUUCGGGAGAAGGAGUGCUCAACUCUGUUGAGCCGCAGUGAAGAGGGAGGGGCAACUGUUUAACAAAAACACAGCUCUCUGCUAAGUCGUAAGACGAUGUAUAGGGGGUGACACCUGCCCAGUGCCGGAAGGUUAAAAGGAGAAGUUCGCUCUUAAGAGCAAAGCUUUGAAUUGAAGCCCCGGUGAACGGCGGCCGUAACUAUAACGGUCCUAAGGUAGCGAAAUUCCUUGUCAGGUAAGUUCUGACCCGCACGAAAGGUGUAAUGAUCCCUUCGCUGUCUCGGCUAUAGACUCGGUGAAAUUUUAGUACCAGUGAAGAUGCUGGUUACCCGCAACUAGACGGAAAGACCCCGUGGAGCUUUACUAUAACUUGAUAUUGAAAUUUGGUGUAACGUGUAGAGGAUAGGUGGGAGACUAUGAAGUAGGGCCG